GAUGAAGAACUAGCGAAAUGCGAUAAGUAAUGUGAAUUGCAGAAUUCAGUGAAUCAUCGAAUCUUUGAACGCACAUUGCGCCCCCCAGUAUUCUGGCGGGCAUGCCUGUUCGAGCGUCAUUUCAACCAUCAAGCCCUGCUUGUGUUGGGGUCCUGCGGCUGCCCGCAGGCCCUGAAAACCAGUGGCGGGCUCGCUAGUCACACCGAGCGCAGUAGCACAUCUCGCUCAGGGCGUGCGGCGGGCUCCAGCCGUUAAAGCACCCACCUUUCGCAAGGUUGACCUCGGAUCAGGUAGGAAUACCCGCUGAACUUAAGCAUAUCAAUAAGCGGAGGA
rnacentral:misc_RNA from 1 species